GUGGAGUUAGACAUGAUGGUGGAAUGUGAUCAUUAGGAUCCAAAGUACAUGUAUGAAGACACAAAUUGGUGUGAAUAUACUUUGUAUACAACCAGAGAUAGGAAAAAAUGUGCUUUAUAUGUGAAAUAAGAAUUGUAAUGCAUUCCACUGUCAUACAUAAAUUAAAAAUUAUUUUAAAAAAUAAAGUAGGCUCUGAUUUUAAAAAAAAAUCCAAGAAAAUGCAGCUAUGAAAAAUAAGUGGUCUUUAAAUCUUAAAAAAAAUCUUAAAAAUUUGACACUUAUUUACAAAUAUAGUGUGAGAACGAUGAUUUCACUUCUGGCCAAAAGACAGCACAGUAUUUUCAUUUAAUAAAAUAUUUUUAUCCUAAUGACAUUCUUCAUAGAAUGAGAAAAAGCAAUCAUGAAAUUCAUUUGGAAAAACAAGAGACCCAGAAUAGCCAAAGAAAUCCUUAGCAAGAAGAGUGAAGCAGGAGGCAUCACAAUACCAGACCUUAAACUAUACGGUAAGUGCCAUAGUAACAAAAAUGUUAUGGUAUUGGCACCGAAAUAGACAUGCAGACCCAAAGGUACAGAAUAGAGGACAAAGACAAACCCACAUGAAUACAGUUAUCUCACACUAGACAAAGGUGCCAAAAGCAUUCACUGGAGAAAAGACAGCCUCUUCAACAAAUGGUGCUGGGAAAACUGGAAACCCAUAUGUAGCUAAUGAAAUCAGACCUCUCUCUCUCACCCUGCACAAAACUCAACUCAAACUGGAUCAAAGACUUAGGCACUAGAACAGAGACGCUGCGCCUAAUAGAAGAAAAAGUGGGCCCAUCUUUCCCCCAUGUCAGCUUAGGAACUGACUUCCUCAACAAGACUCCUAAAGUGCAAGAAGUGAAAUCAAGAAUCAUUAAAUGGGAUGGGCUCAAACUAGAAAGCUUCUUCUCAGCAAAGGAAACAGUCAAUGUGAAGAGAGAGCCCACAGAGUGGGAGCAACUCUCUACCACAUGCACAUCAAAUAGAGCACUAAUCUCCAGGAUAUAUAAAGAACUCCAAAAACUUAACACACACACACACACACACACACAAAAAAAAAAAAAACAAUCAAUAAAUGGGCUAAGGACCUGAACAGACACUUCACAGAAGAAAUACAAUUGAUCAACAAAUAUAUGAAAAAGUAUUCAUCAUUUCUAGCAAUUAGAGAAGUGCAAAUCAAAACCACUCUAGAUUUCAUCUCAGUCCUGGCAGAAUGGCAAUCAUCAAGAAUACAGGAAGCAAUAAGUGUUAGUGGAGAUGUGGAGAAAAAGGUCCACUCACACAGUGCUGGUGGGACUGUUACGAGAAAAAGCCAACACUGGUCCCACCACCACGGAAAGCAGUAUGGAGAUUUCUCAGAAAAGUUGGAAUGGAACCACCAUUUGGCCCAGCUAUCCCACUCCUUGGUCUGUACCCAAAGAACUUAAAAUCAGCAUAUUACAGGGUCACAGCCACAUCAAUGUUUGUAGCAGCUCAACUCACAUUAGCUAAACUAUGGAACCUACCUAGGUGCUCUUCCACAGAUGAAUGGACAAAGAAAAUGUGGUACAUGCACACAAUGGAAUAUUACUCAGCCUUAAUGAAGAAUGAAAUUAUGGCAUUUGCAGGUAAAUGGAUGGAGCUAGAGGAUAUCAUGAUAAGUGAAAUCAGCCAAACCCCGAAAACCAAAGGCUGAAUGUUUUCUCUGAUAAGAG
rnacentral:lncRNA from 1 species